CGGGAGCAGGGUCACCUGCACGGGGGGUGGGGGGGUGGUCACGGCGUGCACGGCACAGGAGAGGCAGGAGUGGACCUGGGCUUGACAAGUGGUCUCGUCAGAUGGCAGCUCUUCUUUCUAGGAGCUUUCCAAGACUGAGCGCGCAGGUGUGACAACUUACUGUCCCCUACUUCACGGCCCUACGUCCCACGUGAGCGUCCCCCUGGCCCAGCCCUGGGACAGCCUCCCGAGGGGCCGCUCCGCGUCCUGCGCUGCCCGGCCGAGUUCCAGCCACACAAAGGCGUGGAUCACAUCACCGCCCCACCUACCGCCCCAUCAACACCCCACCAUGCCCGCUCACUGUGUACCAAGCAGCUCGAGCUCUGGAGGAUUAUUCAAACGCCACCUUCAGGCCAGGGACCCGUCUGUUCCAGGUAAGGCACGCAGCUCCGGGGACCCAACAGUAGACCCAACAGUACCGGCGGGACGUGCGGGGACGUGCGGGAGACCCAGACUUGCUGCACGCUCCUGGUGAGACAACUGCCCCCUUCCUGACCUUCUCCCCUCACUGCCAGGACUGCGUGAAAAACAGUCCCCAAAAGUGCUCACGAUGCAAGCCGACCAUCUACUCCCCCUUAAGGCCUCAUCCGAACGGAUCCCAGGCCAGUAAGGGUCUCAGGCGGUGUGAGUGAAAACCACCACACGCGUGCCCAAGUCGCCGUGGCAAGGGGCCCGGGGGGGGGCAGCGGGAACUCCCGCACACUGCUUGUGGGAGGAACCCUGCACUAGCGCUGGGAAGACUGGCCGUGCCCGCCGUGCCCGCCAGAGCUCAGCAGCCACACUCUAGGACCCAGAAAUCCCACUGCAGACACGCAGCCGCCAGCCACAGGGGCGCUCAGCGCCACGGCACUCGGAAGCGGCACGUUGACCGGAGAAGCCACCCACGUGCCCGCCACACAGUGACACCACCCAGCAAUGAAA